rnacentral:lncRNA from 1 species
UCAAAGUUCUAAUUACAAUGCAGUUGUGAUAGGCAAGGAGGGCGGGGAAGUGCUAGGAGAACGGCAGGUCCCUGGUGAGGGCUCCACCCCCGGGCCUGUGCCCACGGACCUAGGUGAGGACAGGUACUCCUGCCUUGGAAUCCAAAUAAAUGUUGCAUUUCCCAAGACCACCCUGGCCCGCCAUGCCCCAUUCUGUGUCUACAAACCCCCGCAGAGACCUUAACAGGCCGACACACAAGUGGCUGGACUUUGAGAGGACGUCUAGGGGAGCAUGCUGGUGGAAGAGCACACCGACAGACGCCAGCAGGCCAUCCACCAGCAGAACAACUCGAGUUUGGCUGGGGCAGUGGGAAGAGAGCCCAGGCCACGGAGCAGCCCGGCUCCAGGGUAAAACCAUCUGCCUACCAGCUCCCCCAUCUGCUGAGACCUACUUCCACUCAAUAAAACCUUGCAAUCACUCUCCAAGA